UGCCUUCAAACAGAGCUUUUGGUGGCUUCCUAAAAAAGUGACAAGAAAUUAUGUAGGGGAUUCUUCAGACUAUAUUAGCAACAGGCUUAUAACCAAUUUAUUUGUCAAAAUUGUUUGCCGAGAUUACCUUCAAUUAUCACUAUGGAAAAACAUGGAUGUUGUUCCCAGUUCGUUCUCUUAAAAAGUCAUUGUUGGUGCUGAAUGUGUGCCACCCUACUUACUAUUAUGAAGAUUCUCAUGUACAAUUUAUAUGGUUCUGUAGAAGGAAUAUAGAUGGGCAAUUGACAUGUGUUCUGGAUCUUGAUACAUGUAUACCCUAUGUGCUACAAUAUCAUUCCUUUUUAGUGUAACUGCAAGGCAAUUGAUAUGUGCGUUUGAUGUUUUGUCU